GACGAACGCUGGCGGCGUGCUUAACACAUGCAAGUCGAACGGAAAGGCCCUGCUUUUGUGGGGUGCUCGAGUGGCGAACGGGUGAGUAACACGUGAGUAACCUGCCCUUGACUUUGGGAUAACUUCAGGAAACUGGGGCUAAUACCGGAUAGGAGCUCCUGCUGCAUGGUGGGGGUUGGAAAGUUUCGGCGGUUGGGGAUGGACUCGGGGCUUAUCAGCUUGUUGGUGGGGUAGUGGCUUACCAAGGCUUUGACGGGUAGCCGGCCUGAGAGGGUGACCGGCCACAUUGAAACUGGGAUACGGCCCAGACUCCUACGGGAGGCAGCAGUGGGGAAUAUUGCACAAUGGGCGGAAGCCUGAUGCAGCAACGCCGCGUGCGGGAUGACGGCCUUCGGGUUGUAAACCGCUUUCGCCUGUGACGAAGCGUGAGUGACGGUAAUGGGUAAAGAAGCACCGGCUAACUACGUG
rnacentral:rRNA from 1 species